ensembl:snRNA U6 U6 spliceosomal RNA
GUGCUCGCUUCGGCAGCACAGACUAAAAUUAGAACGAUACAGAGAAGAUUGGCAUGGCCCCUGCGCAAGGAUGACACGCACAUUCGUGAAGCAUUCCAUAUUUUU